CCUACGGGAGGCAGCAGUGAGGAAUAUUGGUCAAUGGGCGGAAGCCUGAACCAGCCAAGUCGCGUGAAGGACUAAGGCCCUACGGGUUGUAAACUGCUUUUGCCGGGGAUCAGUGCCCAGCUCGUGAGCUGGGUGGCAGCGUACCCGGAGAAAAAGCAUCGGCAAUUCCCGUGCCAGCAGCCGGGGUAAUACGGAGGAUGCGGGGGUUACCCGAUUUUAUGGGGUUAAAGGGGUGCGUAGGCGGAUCUACAGGCUGCCGGGAAAAUUGCGGGGCUCAACCCCGCCGUGCCGUGGGAACCGGCGGGCUUGAGUCCGGGGAAAGUACGCGGAAUGCGUGGUGUAGCGGUGAAAUGCAUAGAUAUGACGCAGAACCCCGAUUGCGAAGGCAGCGUGCUGGAGGGGAACUGACGCUGAGGCACGAAAGCGCGGGUAUCGAACAGGAUUAGAUACCCCAGUAGUC
rnacentral:rRNA from 1 species